CAAAUCCCAGAAAUAACGUCCCAGUUCGGACUGCAGCCUGCAACCCGGCUGCACGAAGCCGGAAUCGCUAGUAAUCGCAGAUCAGCAUGCUGCGGUGAAUACGUUCCCGGGUCUUGUGCACACCGCCCGUCACACCAUGGGAGCCGGGAAUGCCCGAAGUCAGCGGCCUAACCGCAAGGAGGGAGCUGCCGAAGGCAGGCCUGGUGACUGGGGUGAAGUCGUAACAAGGUAAC
rnacentral:rRNA from 1 species